rnacentral:rRNA from 1 species
GCGGACGGGUGAGUAACACGUGAGCAACCUGCCUAUCAGAGGGGGAUAACGAUUGGAAACGAUCGCUAAUACCGCAUGACAUAGCGAAACCGCAUGGUUUUGCUAUCAAAGAUUUAUCGCUGAUAGAUGGGCUCGCGUCCGAUUAGAUAGUUGGUGAGGUAACGGCUCACCAAGUCGACGAUCGGUAGCCGGACUGAGAGGUCGAACGGCCACAUUGGGACUGAGAUACGGCCCAGACUCCUACGGGAGGCAGCAGUGGGGAAUAUUGGGCAAUGGGCGCAAGCCUGACCCAGCAACGCCGCGUGAAGGAAGAAGGUCUUCGGAUUGUAAACUUCUUUUAUGAGGGACGAAGGACGUGACGGUACCUCAUGAAUAAGCCACGGCUAACUACGUGCCAGCAGCCGCGGUAAUACGUAGGUGGCAAGCGUUAUCCGGAUUUACUGGGUGUAAAGGGAGCGUAGACGGAGCAGCAAGUCUGAUGUGAAAGGCAGGGGCUCAACCCCUGGACUGCAUUGGAAACUGUUGAUCUUGAGUACCGGAGGGGUAAGCGGAAUUCCUAGUGUAGCGGUGAAAUGCGUAGAUAUUAGGAGGAACACCAGUGGCGAAGGCGGCUUACUGGACUGUAACUGACGUUGAGGCUCGAAAGCGUGGGGAGCAAACAGGAUU